GCUCGGGUGGCGGAACUGGCAGACGCGCAGGAUUCAGGAUCCUGUGGGAACUUAUACUCCCGUGGGGGUUCGACUCCCCCCCCGAGCA
rnacentral:tRNA from 1 species